rnacentral:tRNA from 1 species
GCCCGAGUGGGGUAGCUUGGAUAUCCUAGGAGGCUGCGGACCUCCAGACCCGGAUUCGAAUUCCGGCUCGGGCG